rnacentral:rRNA from 1 species
UACGUAGGGGGCAAGCGUUGUCCGGAUUCAUUGGGCGUAAAGCGCGUGUAGGCGGCCAGGUAGGUCCGACGUGAAAACUGGAGGCUCAACCUCCAGCUGUCGUUGGAAACCAUCUGGCUAGAGUCCGGAAGAGGAGAGUGGAAUUCCUGGUGUAGCGGUGAAAUGCGUAGAUAUCUGGAGGAAUACCGGUGGCGAAGGCGGCAUCCUGGACCGAGAUUGACGCUGAUGAGCGAAAGCUAGGGGAGCAAACGGG